ACGCUGGCGGCGUGCCUAAUACAUGCAAGUAGAACGCUGAAGAGAGGAGCUUGCUCUUCUUGGAUGAGUUGCGAACGGGUGAGUAACGCGUAGGUAACCUGCCUUGUAGCGGGGGAUAACUAUUGGAAACGAUAGCUAAUACCGCAUAACAAUGGGUGACACAUGUCAUUUAUUUGAAAGGGGCAAUUGCUCCACUACAAGAUGGACCUGCGUUGUAUUAGCUAGUAGGUGAGGUAACGGCUCACCUAGGCGACGAUACAUAGCCGACCUGAGAGGGUGAUCGGCCACACUGGGACUGAGACACGGCCCAGACUCCUACGGGAGGCAGCAGUAGGGAAUCUACGGCAAUGGGGGCAACCCUGACCGAGCAACGCCGCGUGAGUGAAGAAGGUUUUCGGAUCGUAAAGCUCUGUUGUAAGUCAAGAACGAGUGUGAGAGUGGAAAGUUCACACUGUGACGGUAGCUUACCAGAAAGGGACGGCUAACUACGUGCCAGCAGCCGCGGUAAUACGUAGGUCCCGAGCGUUGUCCGGAUUUAUUGGGCGUAAAGCGAGCGCAGGCGGUUUGAUAAGUCUGAAGUUAAAGGCUGUGGCUCAACCAUAGUUCGCUUUGGAAACUGUCAAACUUGAGUGCAGAAGGGGAGAGUGGAAUUCCAUGUGUAGCGGUGAAAUGCGUAGAUAUAUGGAGGAACACCGGUGGCGAAAGCGGCUCUCUGGUCUGUAACUGACGCUGAGGCUCGAAAGCGUGGGGAGCGGACAGGAUUAGAUACCCUGGUAGUCCACGCCGUAAACGAUGAGUGCUAGGUGUUGGAUCCUUUCCGGGAUUCAGUGCCGCAGCUAACGCAUUAAGCACUCCGCCUGGGGAGUACGACCGCAAGGUUGAAACUCAAAGGAAUUGACGGGGGCCCGCA
rnacentral:rRNA from 1 species